GCCUGGCUGGCUCAGUUGGUAGAGCAUGCGACUCCUGAUCUCAGGGUCAUGAGUUCGCACCCCCUGUGGGGUG
rnacentral:tRNA from 1 species